rnacentral:rRNA from 1 species
GUUAUGCCACCGAAUACAUUAGCAUGGGAUAAUGGAAUAGGACCCUGUCCUCCUCUUUUCAGUUGGUUAAUUUAUGUGCGAGGAUCAGGGUAAUGAUUAAUAGGGAUAGUUGGGGGCAUUAAUAUUUAAUUGUCAGAGGUGAAAUUCUUGGAUUUAUGAAAGAUUAACUUCUGCGAAAGCAUCUGCCAGGAUGUUUUCAUUAAUCAAGAACGAAAGUAAGGGGAUCGAAGACGAUCAGAUACCGUCGUAGUCUUAACCAUAAACGAUGCCGACCAGCGAUUAGGAGACGUUGAAUACAAAACACCGCUAAAGAUAAUUCAUUAUAUGGCUUCACGGCUGUAUAGGUGGUG